CCUACGGGUGGCAGCAGUGGGGAAUAUUGCACAAUGGGCGCAAGCCUGAUGCAGCCAUGCCGCGUGUGUGAAGAAGGCCUUCGGGUUGUAAAGCACUUUCAGCGGGGAGGAAGGCGGUGAGGUUAAUAACCUCAUCGAUUGACGUUACCCGCAGAAGAAGCACCGGCUAACUCCGUGCCAGCAGCCGCGGGUAAUACGGAGGGUGCAAGCGUUAAUCGGAAUUACUGGGCGUAAAGCGCACGCAGGCGGUCUGUCAAGUCGGAUGUGAAAUCCCCGGGCUCAACCUGGGAACUGCAUUCGAAACUGGCAGGCUAGAGGCUUGGAGAGGGGGGUAGAAUUCCAGGUGUAGCGGUGAAAUGCGUAGAGGUCUGGAGGAAUACCGGUGGCGAAGGCGGCCCCCUGGACAAAGACUGACGCUCAGGUGCGAAAGCGUGGGGAGCAAACAGGAUAGAUACCCGUGUAGUC
rnacentral:rRNA from 1 species